UACGGGGGGGGCAAGCGUUGUUCGGAAUUACUGGGCGUAAAGGGCUCGUAGGCGGCCAACUAAGUCGGACGUGAAAUCCCCAGGCUCAACCUGGGAACUGCGUCCGAUACUGGAUGGCUUGAAUCCGGGAGAGGGAUGCAGAAUUCCAGGUGUAGCGGUGAAAUGCGUAGAUAUCUGGAGGAAUACCGGUGGCGAAGGCGGCAUCCUGGACCGGCAUUGACGCUGAGGCGCGAAAGCUAGGGUAGCAAACGGG
rnacentral:rRNA from 1 species